GCGAAUUUUACCAAAGUCGACACGUUUUUACGGGUCAAGUGCGAGAUGAGAUGUGCCUCCACUCUGAAGACACAGAUAACGAAUCUACAAACAACAAAGAACAGCAAUUAAUCACAAGAGUGGAUUGUUUUUAGUAUUUCAGUGUGAGCACAGAUCUAAUACCUCUGAAUCGUCUUGGUGGGAUGAUCUUUCGUACACUGUUUUCAUCAGAGUCCUCAACAUGAGAGGUUUCCAUUGCUUUUUGGACCCGGUAUCUGGCCAGCCAUGAGGAUGGUGCCACCUCGACCUCAUUUUGCUCAAUGAAAUUGAGUACUACGUAGCGGAGAUAAAUCUGUUUUCAAAAGUUAAUGGUGCUGGAUAGCCAAUCACUAGAAGAGGCAGGAACUCAUGGGGCAAAUCUUCAAAAGGCAGAGACUCGGGG